AAUAUAAACCUGUUGCAGGUUAACAACUCCAGCCAAACUAUAACCAAAUGUAGUAUGAUUACGAGGAUUUUUCUUAAGAGAAAGUUCAAGGUUGCAAAAUGACAUAUUUGUUGCUUGAAACAGCAGUUAUCAACAAGAACAAUGGAUUGCCAAUUUUGCUUGUGCUGGUAAUAUAUUAUGGCCGGUCAACAGCAAUGUUCAUAAUAUGAAUCUCAAUACAAUUUCAUCGACAAGGUUAACAUCAUCCGGCUGAUGGGAGAAUAUAAUCAUGUACAUUUAUACUCGUCUGUGUUAAAUCUCCGAGGACACCCUUGAUCCUUCCUCCAUCUGCCGCCUCCAUCUGCCGCCCCCAACUUUGCUGCUGAAGGAGCAGCACUUGCGGAAUCCUGACGGUAUUUCCCAGAAUUCAGGUAGGAAAAUGUUUCACCUUUUCUCCCCCCCCCUCCUUAUUUCGUAUCGUUCAUAAAUAGAGAAUAAGUGUGAAUGGAGAGUAUAGUUGGCGGCAUAUAAUCUCCGUUCGUCUUAUCGUAGAAAAUCCCGAUAAAAACUGUUAAGAU